rnacentral:rRNA from 1 species
GCCUGCCCAGUGACGACUCUGUUUAACGGCCGCGGUAUCCUAACCGUGCAAAGGUAGCGCAAUCAUUUGUCUUUUAAAUGGAGACCUGUAUGAAUGGCAUAACGAGGGCUUAACUGUCUCCUUUUUCAAGUCAAUGAAAUUGAUCCCCCCGUGCAGAAGCGGGGAUAUCUACAUAAGACGAGAAGACCCUAUGGAGCUUUAGACACAAGACAGACCACGUCACUCACCCCUACAAUAAAGGGCUAAAACCGGAAAGACCCUGUUCUUCUGUCUUCGGUUGGGGCGACCAUGGGGUAACAAAAACCCCCCACGCGGAUUGGGAGCUUUACCCCCUACUCUCUCUUCCUCCCAAAACCAAGAGCGACAGCUCUAAUUAACAGAACUUCUGACCAAAAAUGAUCCGGCAACGCCGAUCAACGAAC